UUCAACCUGGAAAUAAGGAGAUUUUUUCUGACAGGGAGAACAAUCCACCCAUGGAAGAGGAGUUGCCUUCAGAGGUUGGGGGAGCUUCAUCACUGGAGGCUUUCAAGAAGAGAUUGGACUGCCAUUCGUCAGAAAUGGUGUAGGGCAGGUGUCAGCAACCUGUGGCUCCAGAGCCGCAUGCGGCUCUUUGGCUCUCCCUCUGCUGUGGCUCCAUGUCAAAUGAUCCCACCACUAGUUGGCCCCGCCCCUCUCCCUCCCCUCCCAGUCACUCCUUGCCUGGCCUGAGAAGACCUGUGAAAAUUGCAAUGCGAGAACCGGUUGGAAAGAUACAAUUUCAUCCCCACCUUCGCCGCGGUCGCUAAACGAGGACUGCCUGGGCUUCCCUGUUGAGUAGAGCAGGGAGAGGAGGUUUUGUUACUUUGCGAGCCAGUGGUAAAGCAGGAAAAAACCAGAUUGAAAUGUGGUUUUGGCUUUAGAAGGGAAAUUUCGACCUGAAGUUACUUCACAAACGUUAAUGCAUUUUUCACGACUUAAGCUGAAAAGUAUGAGCUCUAAUAUUCAUUCGGGCAGGGCUGAAAUUGAAGAUCUGGAUUUCUGAGGUUGACCCUCCCCUCUCCUGGAUUAGAAUGCUAAUAUUUUUUUCUCUUAUUGCACCAGAGGCAAAAAAAAAAAAAUCCAUUUUUUUUUCCACCAGUGAAGCUGGGAGUUCAUGAAACAGAUGUAACUUGAAAAAUCCCAGAUGUUAAAAUGAUGGUUAAAAAAAUCAGUCAGGUUUCAAUUAUAUUUUAACCAAUUAGGCUUUGCAUGACCAAACCCA